GCUCUGAUUGGCGACUUUGGUGGGCAAAGCCCUUCUCUAAUAUCCUUAUUGUUUAAGUUUCCAAAGUGUAUACAACCUCUAUGUACUAGGUGGCAUCUAAUAAUUAGGGAAUCUGACACAAACUAGGAAUAUCAAAUAGAAUACAUAAAUCAAGCUAGGACUAGAAUUAUGAACAUAUCUAACGCACCAUGCCAAUGUUUCCUGCACCUAUGGUAUUUGAUCCCAUAACAUCCGUAACAGAUAACCUGUAUGCAGAUGGAAUGUUGCAAAUCAUGAGUCCUUUACUGACAGCAAUUGUCUAGGAGAAAAUUCUAGUUAGUGUUGCAGAAAAUUAGGUGCCUCUUUGCCAGCAAAUUCGACCUUUGAUGCCAUCAUUGUUGGUGUAGCAGAAAUAAUGUCAUCAAUGUUCAAUGC
rnacentral:sRNA from 1 species